ACGAACCGAUACCGGAGGCGAUCCAGGAAGGAUCGGGGGAUGACCCGCACUGGCGGGCGGCUGCUCAGAGAGCACAACCGAUACCCCCACAACACCUCAACAGCGACCCGCCCCGGCGCUCAGGUAUCGUUCC
rnacentral:ncRNA from 1 species